rnacentral:rRNA from 1 species
UACGGAGGGUGCAAGCGUAUCCGGAUUUACUGGGUUUAAAGGGUGCGUAGGCGGAUAAGUAAGUCCGUGGUGAAAUCCUGCAGCUUAACUGCAGAACUGCCGUGGAUACUAUUUGUCUUGAAUAUCGUGGAGGUUAGCGGAAUAUGUCAUGUAGCGGUGAAAUGCUUAGAUAUGACAUAGAACACCCAUUGCGAAGGCAGCUAACUACGCGAUUAUUGACGCUGAUGCACGAAAGCGUGGGGAUCAAACAGG